CCGUCAAUUCAUUUGAGUUUCACACUUGCGUGCGUACUCCCCAGGCGGAACACUUAACGCGUUGGCUACGACACCGAGGGGGUCGAUUCCCCCGACACCUAGUGUUCAUCGUUUACGGCCAGGACUACAGGGGUAUCUAAUCCCUUUCGCUCCCCUGGCUUUCGUCCAUGAGCGUCAGUUAUGGCCCAGCAGAGCGCCUUCGCCACUGGUGUUCUUCCCGAUAUCUACGCAUUUCACCGCUACACCGGGAAUUCCCUCUGCCCCUACCACACUCUAGCCAUGCAGUUUCCACCGCUCAAAUGGAGUUAAGCUCCACGCUUUAACGGCAGACUUGCAUGGCCGCCUGCGGACGCUUUACGCCCAAUAAUUCCGGAUAACGCUUGCCACUCCCGUAUUACCG
rnacentral:misc_RNA from 1 species